UACGUAGGCAGCGAGCGUUGUUCGGAUUUACUGGGCGUAAAGGGCGCGUAGGCGGCCACGACAAGUCAGUUGUGAAAUCUCUGGGCUUAACUCAGAACGGUCAACUGAUACUGUCGGGCUAGAGUGCAGAAGGGGCAACUGGAAUUCUCGGUGUAGCGGUGAAAUGCGUAGAUAUCGAGAGGAACACCUGCGGCGAAGGCGGGUUGCUGGGCUGACACUGACGCUGAGGCGCGAAAGCUAGGGGAGCGAACGGG
rnacentral:rRNA from 1 species